UUCACGGGCGCCCAAAACCACCCAUUUGGAGAAGAGCUGAGUGGGGAUUUGAACCUUCGAGAGCUCACGCCCUGGCGCCACCAGGAGAUGGUGCUCAAGGGGGCUAGGGCUGCUCCAGGGCGAGUCCCAGGACAGACAGACCUCAGAUCCCUGAGAGCCCCUUUUACCGUCCCCUUGAAGGGGACAGGUCCUGGCCUGGCCUGGGGUAGAAACCCAGAAACUUCUGUUAAACAAGAAAAGGAACGGAUCGUCUCUCCCAAAGAGCUGACCAGGCGCUCACCUCUCCACCUACAUCACCGAGCUGCGGUUCUCAGUCUUCCUCCGAGGGCUCCCUUCCUAGAACCUGGGGCUGGACAGCGCCUCAGGCUUUCACUUCGCCCUCCCCUCCGGCCUCUUGCAAACCCGCUCCAAAACCAAAGGGUAGUGUGGCCUGGUGUUAAAAGUCUGCAAAGCUGACCACCCCUCCUCCGGCCGCCCUAAGCAGUCCCGCUGUAUGCAGCUCACACCGUAUGAUUUAGAGCAUGACCUUCGGUCCUGCCUGGGACCCCAACGUGCUGUGUGCUUCCGAGCAAGCCACUUCACCUCUCGGAGCCCUGACGCCUCCCUCUGUAAACUGGGGAAUAAAAACACCCCAUGAGGCCGAGAACGUGAACU